rnacentral:rRNA from 1 species
GAUGAACGCUGGCGGCGUGCCUAAUACAUGCAAGUCGAGCGAACGGACGAGAAUCUUGCUUCUCUGAUGUUAGCGGCGGACGGGUGAGUAACACGUGGAUAACCUACCUAUAAGACUGGGAUAACUUCGGGAAACCGGAGCUAAUACCGGAUAAUAUUUUGAACCGCAUGGUUCAAAAGUGAAAGACGGUCUUGCUGUCACUUAUAGCUGGAUCCGCGCUGCAUUAGCUAGUUGGUAAGGUAACGGCUUACCAAGGCAACGAUGCAUAGCCGACCUGAGAGGGUGAUCGGCCACACUGGAACUGAGACACGGUCCAGACUCCUACGGGAGGCAGCAGUAGGGAAUCUUCCGCAAAGGGCGAAAGCCUGACGGAGCAACGCCGCGUGAGUGAUGAAGGUCUUCGGAUCGUAAAACUCUGUUAUUAGGGAAGAACAUAUGUGUAAGUAACUGUGCACAUCUUGACGGUACCUAAUCAGAAAGCCACGGCUAACUACGUG